rnacentral:tRNA from 9 species
GCGGAUGUAGCGCAGCUGGUAGCGCAUCACCUUGCCAAGGUGAGGGUCGCGGGUUCGAAUCCCGUCAUCCGCUCAA